rnacentral:rRNA from 1 species
GAUGAACGCUGGCGGCGUGCCUAAUACAUGCGAGUCGAGCGAACAGACGAGGAGCUUGCUCCUCUGACGUUAGCGGCGGACGGGUGAGUAACACGUGGAUAACCUACCUAUAAGACUGGGAUAACUUCGGGAAACCGGAGCUAAUACCGGAUAAUAUAUUGAACCGCAUGGUUCAAUAGUGAAAGACGGUUUUGCUGUCACUUAUAGAUGGAUCCGCGCCGCAUUAGCUAGUUGGUAAGGUAACGGCUUACCAAGGCGACGAUGCGUAGCCGACCUGAGAGGGUGAUCGGCCACACUGGAACGGAGACACGGUCCAGACUCCUACGGGAGGCAGCAGUAGGGAAUCUUCCGCAAUGGGCGAAAGCCUGACGGAGCAACGCCGCGUGAGUGAUGAAGGUCUUCGGAUCGUAAAACUCUGUUAUUAGGGAAGAACAAAUGUGUAAGUAACUAUGCACGUCUUGACGGUACCUAAUCAGAAAGCCACGGCUAACUACG